rnacentral:snRNA from 1 species
GGGGGCGCAACGCCCUCGA